rnacentral:lncRNA from 1 species
GAAUUACAUAUACUUCUGAAGAAGUCACAAUUGAGACAGAGGAUAAAGAAAGAUAUUUGAGGUGGAAUGUUUUAAGGGUAAAAAGACCUAGAAAUACAAAUCAAAAGGACCAGUUAAAUUCCAAAAAAAAAAAAAAAAAAUUAAUGGAAAUACACCUUAUCUCAUCCUGUAACAUUUUGGAUUUACAGAGUUUAUUUUAUUUUAUAUUUUACAAAAGGCUUUUACAAGCAUCUUUGUAUAAAACUGAGGCUGACAUCAAACUUCACCACCCUGACACUAAAUAUCAGAAAACUAUGAAGUAAUCUCUAUAGAGUCAUCUAUGAAUGAAGACAAGAGAGAAACAUCAUUUUCCCAUAGGUUCAAAAAACUGUAUAAACUAUAUACCCUCUUUAAAAAUUACUUGAAGCUGUACACUAACUCAUCAAUACAGGAUUUUAAGAUGAAUGAACUCAAUGAGCAUUUUCUCCCCUCUAUACAUCUAUUUGAAUAAAACAAAUCACAAUGCUGGAAAUAAUAUAUGUGAAAAUAUGCUCACCAUUGUAUUAUAUAUUACAGUCAAAAAUUGAAAAUAACCAAAUAUUUCCUAUUAAAAUAACAUGAGAUAUCAUUCAGUCAUUAGACGAUGUCAGAAAAUACUUUUUCAGUUUUCAUGGUGUGUGAUCUCAAUUAUGCAUGGACAAAUGCAUUGAGCAAUAAUUGAAAUGGUUAAUAUUAAUUAUAUCUGGGGUGGAGAAUAUUUGUCUGGUUUUUAACUUUUUUUAUUUUUCACAUAUAAGACAAUACAUAACAAUGAAAAAAUAGAAGAAAGGAGUAGGGAUUGGUACUCUCAAAAUUAGUUUGGGAUUUAUUUAAUAAAAAGAAAACCCAGACAUCUAUAUACUGACCAGGAUUGACAUUGCACUGAAACUUUUUCAAACAACCUGCAAAAGUGUAAGUAAUAUAAAUCUUUCACAGGCCACAGGUCACAUGUCUCUGAGAUCUCUGGAGCAAAGUUAGCUUUGGCUACCAAGCUUGGAAGAAAAUGUUCUUCUUUUGAAAUAUUUGCUAUAUUCUUUCCUCUACACUUCAUUGUUUUUCCUUCUAACUGAAUUGGAACUUUCACUGUAGUUUCCUUCAACCUUGCAAUUUCUUCAAACCGUUUGGAGGCUAACAUCUCAAAUAACAGUGAGAUUCCCAAUAGUUAACUUCAUAGUAACUUUCUCAAAGGUAAAAUGUGCUUUCAUCCAAAGUCUUCGGGAUUGCUCCACUUUCAGCAGAAAUCUUUCCUUUCAGUGAUAUUUAUAUAACAUAAAAAUUUGCUUUUUUAUGCAGAAAUAUUUUUCAAAUGGACCAGUUUAUAUUCCUUUUUCUAAACUACUUAUGCAAAAAAUGUAUCAUUUGAAUGAAGUAUGCCAAAGUAUCUGCUCUUCCCAGAAAUAUUGCAAAGGAUUUGUUGAAAUGAUGCACUGUCAUUCCAAUCCUACUUCACAUCCCACACAUUCAUAAAAGGUAAUGACUGGGUGGAGGUCAGAGGCAGAGGAAACCAGACAAUGCUUAGCCUUUAUGUUGAUCUAUAGGGCCUUAAAGACAUAUGUGACUAAACAGAACAAAUUCUGCAACAACAACAAAAAAAAAAAACCUCAGUAUUUUCUGAGUAUCUUUAAAAAAUUUCUCAGUUUCUGUUAUUUCAGUGAACUGUUUAUAUUUCUUCCCUAAUAAUAUUUUUUGCCAUGAAUAGGUUUUUCUCCUUUUUAUAUCUUAAGUGUCUGGUUUUGUACUUUGCUGGUAAAUGUCACAUUUCACUUCUGUUGUAUUCCUCUCAGUUUCACAUCUUCUUUCUUUUCCUCUCUAACCUAGCAAUCCUAUAUACUAGCAGCUAACAAAAACACUGAAAUAGUGACUUGAUGCUCUUAAUAAACUCUGCCAAACUAUCCCAAGGCAAUGAAUUUAUGGUACUAUGUAAUUUCUUUACACUUAUGCCAUGUUAAAACAAAAACAAAAAGCAAAACUGAAGCCACAUGUGAAGGUCUUUUUGAAGGACUAGAGGCAUUUAUUGUUAAAUACUUGCUUUAUUGUCCAUGAAAGUAAUAAAUUGAUAUCUGUUUUCUUUGGAGUCUUUUCAGACGAAAAUAUCAAUAUUGCUACCAGUUGUAAAAGUCCUAUGAUUUGUAUAACACUAAGACUUGAAGUUGAUAUUGAAGUAAUUUGCUUUUUUAAGGCAGAAUAGUAUAGGGGCUAGAUUCAUCGACUCAGGACCCAAAUUACUUAGAUUUCAAUCUGUCUCCCUUUCACUGCUUUCUAGGCAUGUAAACUUCAUACAGUUAUUUACCAUUCUGUGCCUGUUUGCUUGGUUAUACAAUGAAGAUAACAAUAGUUUCCACAUGAUGGUUAAUUAAUAUAAGGCACUUAGAAGGUUGCCUGGUACAUGGUAAGUUACAUAUGUCCAAUACAAAAUUAUUAUUAAAAUUAGGAUUUUCUUAGAAUGCUCUAGGAAUUAAAAGUGAAUUAAUUAAUUAAAUGAAAUUAAUAAAAUCUAUAGAAGAGUUGUUGCUAUUUUUUUUCUUUUUUGAGACACAAUCUCACUCUAUGGCCCAGGCUGGAGCACAGUGGUGUGGUCUCAGCUCAGUGUAACCUCUGCCUCCUGGUUUCAAGCGAUUCUUG